UGGCGGACGGGUGAGUAACACGUGGGUAACCUGCCCUUAAGUGGGGGAUAACAUUUGGAAACAGAUGCUAAUACCGCAUAAAUCCAAGAACCGCAUGGUUCUUGGCUGAAAGAUGGCGUAAGCUAUCGCUUUUGGAUGGACCCGCGGCGUAUUAGCUAGUUGGUGAGGUAACGGCUCACCAAGGCAAUGAUACGUAGCCGAACUGAGAGGUUGAUCGGCCACAUUGGGACUGAGACACGGCCCAAACUCCUACGGGAGGCAGCAGUAGGGAAUCUUCCACAAUGGACGCAAGUCUGAUGGAGCAACGCCGCGUGAGUGAAGAAGGCUUUCGGGUCGUAAAACUCUGUUGUUGGAGAAGAAUGGUCGGCAGAGUAACUGUUGUCGGCGUGACGGUAUCCAACCAGAAAGCCACGGCUAACUACGUGCCAGCAGCCGCGGUAAUACGUAGGUGGCAAGCGUUAUCCGGAUUUAUUGGGCGUAAAGCGAGCGCAGGCGGUUUUUUAAGUCUGAUGUGAAAGCCCUCGGCUUAACCGAGGAAGUGCAUCGGAAACUGGGAAACUUGAGUGCAGAAGAGGACAGUGGAACUCCAUGUGUAGCGGUGAAAUGCGUAGAUAUAUGGAAGAACACCAGUGGCGAAGGCGGCUGUCUGGUCUGUAACUGACGCUGAGGCUCGAAAGCAUGGGUAGCGAACAGGAUUAGAUACCCUGGUAGUCCAUGCCGUAAACGAUGAAUGCUAGGUGUUGGAGGGUUUCCGCCCUUCAGUGCCGCAGCUAACGCAUUAAGCAUUCCGCCUGGGGAGUACGACCGCAAGGUUGAAACUCAAAGGAAUUGACGGGGGCCCGCACAAGCGGUGGAGCAUGUGGUUUAAUUCGAAGCAACGCGAAGAACCUUACCAGGUCUUGACAUCUUUUGAUCACCUGAGAGAUCAGGUUUCCCCUUCGGGGGCAAAAUGACAGGUGGUGCAUGGUUGUCGUCAGCUCGUGUCGUGAGAUGUUGGGUUAAGUCCCGCAACGAGCGCAACCCUUAUGACUAGUUGCCAGCAUUUAGUUGGGCACUCUAGUAAGACUGCCGGUGACAAACCGGAGGAAGGUGGGGAUGACGUCAAAUCAUCAUGCCCCUUAUGACCUGGGCUACACACGUGCUACAAUGGAUGGUACAACGAGUUGCGAGACCGCGAGGUCAAGCUAAUCUCUUAAAGCCAUUCUCAGUUCGGACUGUAGGCUGCAACUCGCCUACACGAAGUCGGAAUCGCUAGUAAUCGCGGAUCAGCACGCCGCGGUGAAUACGUUCCCGGGCCUUGUACACACCGCCCGUCACACCAUGAGAGUUUGUAACACCCGAAGCCGGUGGCGUAACCCUUUUAGGGAGCGAGCCGUCUAAGGUGGGACAAAUGAUUAGGGU
rnacentral:rRNA from 1 species